AUUGAACGCUGGCGGCAGGCCUAACACAUGCAAGUCGAACGAGUGGCGGACGGGUGAGUAAUGUCUGGGACACUGCCCGAUGGAGGGGGAUAACUUCUGGAAACGGUAGCUAAUACCGCAUACCAUCGGAUGUGCCCAGAUGGGAUUAGGUAGUGGGUGGGGUAACGGCUCACCUAGGCGACGAUCCCUCGCUGGUCUGAGAGGAUGACCAGCCACACGGGAACUGGACAACGGUCCAGAUCCCUACGGGAGGAAGCAGUGGGGAAUAUUGAACAAGGGGCGAAAGCCGGAGGCAGCCAUGCGGCGUGUAUGAAUAAGGCCUUCGGGUUGUAAAGUACUUUCAGCGAGGAGGCGUUACUCGCAGAAGAAGCACCGGCUAACUCCGUGCCAGCAGCCGCGGUAAUUC
rnacentral:rRNA from 1 species